AGCUUGCUUUUGAUUCGUUAGCGGCGGACGGGUGAGUAACACGUGGGCAACCUGCCCUGUAGACGGGGAUAACACCGAGAAAUCGGUGCUAAUACCGGAUAACACGAAAUGUCGCAUGACGUUUCGUUGAAAGACGGCGCAAGCUGUCGCUACAGGAUGGGCCCGCGGCGCAUUAGCUAGUUGGUGAGGUAACGGCUCACCAAGGCGACGAUGCGUAGCCGACCUGAGAGGGUGAUCGGCCACACUGGGACUGAGACACGGCCCAGACUCCUACGGGAGGCAGCAGUAGGGAAUCUUCCGCAAUGGACGAAAGUCUGACGGAGCAACGCCGCGUGAGCGAAGAAGGCCUUCGGGUCGUAAAGCUCUGUUGUUAGGGAAGAACAAGUAACGCAGUAACUGGCGUUACCGUGACGGUACCUAACGAGAAAGCCACGGCUAACUACGUGCCAGCAGCCGCGGUAAUACGUAGGUGGCAAGCGUUGUCCGGAAUUAUUGGGCGUAAAGCGCGCGCAGGCGGUUCCUUAAGUCUGAUGUGAAAGCCCACGGCUCAACCGUGGAGGGUCAUUGGAAACUGGGGGACUUGAGUGCAGAAGAGGAGAGCGGAAUUCCACGUGUAGCGGUGAAAUGCGUAGAGAUGUGGAGGAACACCAGUGGCGAAGGCGGCUCUCUGGUCUGUAACUGACGCUGAGGCGCGAAAGCGUGGGGAGCAAACAGGAUUAGAUACCC
rnacentral:rRNA from 1 species